rnacentral:rRNA from 1 species
UACGUAGGAGGCAAGCGUUAUCCGGAAUUACUGGGCGUAAAGGGCGUCUAGGCGGUGGGUCAAGCGGGGUGUGAAAGCUCUCGGCUUAACUGAGAGAGUGCGCUCCGAACUGGCCGACUAGAGGGCAGGCGACGGCGGUGGAAUACCCGGUGGAGUGGUGAAAUGCGUAGAGAUCGGGUGGAACACCAGUGGCGAAGGCGGCCGCCGAGCCUGUUACUGACGCUGAAGCGCGAGAGCGUGGGGAGCAAACGGGAUUAGAAACCCCCGUAGUCC